UGGGGGAUCGUCUAACGGUAGGACCGCAGACUCUGACUCUGCGUAUCUUGGUUCGAAUCCAAGUCCCCCAGCCA
rnacentral:tRNA from 1 species